UACGGGGGGGGCAAGCGUUGUUCGGAAUUACUGGGCGUAAAGUGUGCGCAGGCGGCCGAGCAAGUCGAGUGUGUAAGCCCCGAGCUUAACUUGGGAACUGCGCUCGAAACUACUUGGCUAGAGUGUGGCAGAGGGAGGUGGAAUUCCACGUGUAGCGGUGAAAUGCGUAGAGAUGUGGAGGAACACCGAUGGCGAAGGCAGCCUCCUGGGCCAACACUGACGCUCAUGCACGAAAGCGUGGGGAGCAAACAGG
rnacentral:rRNA from 1 species